rnacentral:rRNA from 1 species
GUACACUCCUGCGGGAGGCAGCAGUGGGGAAUUUUGGACAAUGGGCGAAAGCCUGAUCCAGCAAUGCCGCGUGAGUGAAGAAGGCCUUCGGGUUGUAAAGCUCUUUUGUCAGGGAAGAAACGGUGAAAGCUAAUAUCUUUUGCUAAUGACGGUACCUGAAGAAUAAGCACCGGCUAACUACGUGCCAGCAGCCGCGGUAAUACGUAGGGUGCAAGCGUUAAUCGGAAUUACUGGGCGUAAAGCGUGCGCAGGCGGUUUUGUAAGUCUGAUGUGAAAUCCCCGGGCUCAACCUGGGAAUUGCAUUGGAGACUGCAAGGCUAGAAUCUGGCAGAGGGGGGUAGAAUUCCACGUGUAGCAGUGAAAUGCGUAGAUAUGUGGAGGAACACCGAUGGCGAAGGCAGCCCCCUGGGUCAAGAUUGACGCUCAUGCACGAAAGCGUGGGGAGCAAACAGGAUUAGAAACCCUUGUAGUCC